rnacentral:lncRNA from 1 species
AUGAGUGGAGAAGGAGAUCAAAGCCCAAAUGGAGCAGGGGCCCGGCCGUUGGGAGAAGAGACGUUGCAAGCCGUAGCUUCCUCUACGGGGUACCCCAGGCCGAACGGCGUGACUCAGAGGAUUCCCAGAGGAGGAAGAGGCGUCUCUGCGGCUGCAGAAACCAGUUGGGGAUCUGGAGGAAGCAUGCCAGAGACCGUAGCCCUGCGGUUAUCCAUCCUGGAAACUAAUUUAUCCAGGCUGUCGGAAACCGUGGGGAGGUUGGUCCCACUAUUGGAAGAGAAUCUCCAAAAAGAGCCCAUCCGAUAUGGCGCCGAGAGAGAGCCAAGUAAAGAAGGAGAUUGGAGCCAGAGGGGCCAGCGCGCAUCAACGCAGAGUCCCGUGGCGGCGAGGGACGAGGGAGAUGAGGAAUACUGGCGGGAGCUGGAGUUCCGAGACAGAAUGGCCCGCGAAAUGGAGCGCCAGCGAGCUCUGGGAACUCUGAGGCCGCCAACUCCAACAGAACUUCCAACCCCCCGAAUGGGUGUCGGGGUGGAAAGGCCACUGGGGCCAGGGAUCGGGUCCAGUGGAUUAGCAGACGAAGGCGGAGAGGAGCCGGAGAUCCAGGAAGAGGAGGAGGAUGUGCCGUACGACGAGGAAAGGCGAGAUGCGGGGGCUACAGCGAGGCCCGAGUUCGGGUGGGUGGAAGGACCGACCAUCAAAACAUCAUGUUAUACAACAAAUUUGACAGAAAAAGUAGUUCCAUGUGCAGUAAUGCUAUGUAGUAAUUACUGUAUUUACAAAAUUACCACCAAAAUAUCACAAUGAAUUUAAAACACUGACUACAAAAACAUUGACUACUAAAAGGCAGACUGUGUUGGAUAAUCCAGAACAUUGGAUAAGUGAAUGUUGGAUAAGUGAGAUUCUACUGUAAUAUGAAAUAAUUACUGUGAUAGAAUAAUACAGAACAAUAUAAUCUCUAAAACCAGGACAGUAAAUAAAGAGCAACACUCUGAAAGCAGGAAAAUUGGAAAUUCCACAAAGGAAACAAUCAGGGCCAGCUAACACCUCCCAAGGAAGGAUUCUUCCAGAAAGGAAGCUGAGAAGGGAGUGAAGCAGUGUGUAUUACCAAAGUCAUUAUUAUUAUUAUUAUUAUUAUUAUUAUUAUUAUUAUUAUUAUUAUUAUUAUGUUGCUGUGAACCGUGAAAAUGAAUACAAUCUGGCUCUAAGUAUUCAAAAACGCUAAAAUCAGAAUAUAUAAAAAUUACUGUGGUAUAAUAAAACAGAACAAUACAAACUCUAAAAUCAGAACACUACAUAAAGAACAACACUCUGAAAACAGGGGAAUUCCACACAAGAAACAAUCAGGGCCAGCUAACACCUCCCAACAAAGUCUUCCCAUCACCAAAGUCUGGCAAAUCCUCUGUUUUCUGAGGGCCACAGACAGUAGAAGCACAUAAAAUAUCGCAAACAACACCACUCUGAAAACAAGGGAAUUCCAGACAUGAAACAAUCAGGGCCAGCUAACACCUCCCAACAAAAAAUUCACUCAGGGAGGAAACAGCCAGGCUUUAAAGCUGCAAGGCCAUUACAUGCUAAUCAUUUCCCCUAAUUACAACAUUCAUUCAGGUUUGAAUUGGGGGAGCGGACAGAGCCCCCACUGUUAGCCCCAGCUUCUGCCAACCCUAAAGUUAAAAAUAUGCAAAUGAGAGUAGAUGAAUAGGUACUCCUUCGGCAGGAAGGUAACAGCGCUCGAUGCAGUCAUGCCACAUGACUUUGGAGAAGUCUACGGACAACGCCACCUCUUCAGCUUAGAAAUGGAGAUGACCACCAACCCCCAGAGUCAGACCCGACUGGACUUAAUGUCAGGGGAAAACAUUUACCCUUUACCUUAACUACCAUCAAUUCCUCAGUACUUUAUUUCCCAUACCACCAUACUUCGCCACAGCAACGCGUGGCUGGGCACAGCUAGUAAACUAUAUAUAUCUGGGCACCAGGUGAGCCUAUCUAGGCAGGGCAUUUUACAAAAGAAAAAAUGCCAUUUCUGAAAGGACCCAUCCUCAGUAUGCCAUGCUCAACAUAUUGGUUGUCUCAGCAAUUAUGAGUUUCCCUGGAUCUAAAAGCCUAAAGCGUUGAUGUCCCCAGGACAAUUGUUACAAGAAUCCUCAAAACUCAUUUUCAGUCAGUUUAGACAAGGAAACCACUGGGUGGGUGGCUGGCUGAUACACCCUCAGAAUCUGAAUAUCUAUUCUCUUCACAGCAAAUGGCUUGUGUGAUAGAUAUAUAGAACUUUAAAAAGCUGACAAAUGACUACAUACCAUCUGGUACUAUGGCAGAGGAAGAUGAGCAAGUGAAUGAAUCCUUUGAUGUGGCUAACAUCAUAGGAGCCCUACAAUAGUAAGAUCUGAUUAGAUGGAUAUAGGGGGAGUGCUACAUCAGAGCUUGCAUCAUGUUCCAACUCUUAUUUGUAUCACCCUCUCUCUUGUGUCUUUUAUUGUCAUGAGCAGAUAUGUUAGGCAAUGGUGCUAUUAAAAUCAACUGUAAAGUACAACCCCUGUAUCUGUGGGAAGCUGUGGCUUCAUCUUCCCAUAUCUGACUAAAUAUGUCCUCUCUAGACAUUUUUUAGGCUCUCCGGACAAUUCUACAG